UGGUGGAGUGAUUUGUCUGGUUAAUUCCGAUAACGAACGAGACUCUGUCCUGCUAACUAGGUUGUGUUCUCUCGGGUUGGUGUUUCUGGUGUUCCUUCUCGGGGCGCCGGCCCAAUCCACUUGUGAACACAACACUUUUCUUAGAGGGACUGGCGGCUGUUAGCCGCACGAGAUAGAGCAAUAACA
rnacentral:rRNA from 1 species